AAAGCAAACCCCGGUGGCCGAAUGGUUGGUGCGGCCACCUGGUAGCGCCUUGGAAUGGGGAACCAAGGUACGUGGGUUCGAAACCCAUAGAGGAUACACCAAAUCUAGAGCCUGUAUCUCAGCUCUUUGAUAAGAAUAAUUGUGACGGGUUAACACCCGCUAGUAGUUAACUUACGCAACCAACCCCCUUGUCGCCCACUCACCUUAUCAUGUGUUCACACACACCUAUGAAAUACUCCUUCCUUUGUAACUCUGCUCCACAUCUGUAUAGUCUCUAACAAUUCCUUCAUAUAAUCUCUAAUAUUUUUCUGCUCUGCUCACUUCUCUAUAAGAAUCUCUUUAUAUAAUCUUUGCUUUUAAUCUCUUUUCUCUUUCUUUUCUUAAUCAAUUUAUAAACUGUAUUAAAAUAGUACUAAGUGUGACGGGUUAGCACCCGUUAGUAGUUAACUUACACAACCACCUCGCGUAUCCACGCGUGUGUACAAUCCCACUCCGCGCACACAUAGUCCUAACAAUUCCUCCACGCAAUCCUCACAAUUCCACUCUGUGCACACAUAGUCUCUAAUGAUUCCUCCACAUGUUCUCUAACAUUCUUCCACUC
rnacentral:sRNA from 1 species